UUAGCUGCAGAACGUUGGUGAACUUAAAACUCUUCUUUCGACUUACUUGUACUUACUAUCUAUUAUUUAAAUUAAAUGAUAUAGUUGAAUUUUUCCUUAAUCUGUUGCUAUAAGUUUUGCAUAGCGAUGUCAGAGAAGCAUUUUUUUAUCAAGUUUCUUAGGAGAACUGUUUCUGUAUAGAAGUGUUAUAAAUUCAUGCCUCAAGUUCAUAAACGAUUUGGCAUUUUAGUCAAACAUUAUGCAUGUAUAUCACUUUAUCCGUUUUCAGCUGGAGGGGUGACUCGGAUAGCAUUAUUUUCCUAGUGGGCAACAAUACUUGACUGAGUUAAACGAUGUUGGCCCAUUGUUUAUUUUGCAUUCAAUAAAAAAUCAUUGUCCUCUGCAAUAUCUAGUUUCUUAUGGCUCCAUGGUACGUUUGUUCUCACUUGAUUGUAAGGAGCACAUGUGGUGGUUUAUGGGGUUUUGCCCCAUUUUUAAAAGAAGCCUUAUGAAUAGCCUCUGCCAACUCUAUGAAUGGUUUGAAAUUUCCUUCUUCCAACAAGUUUGAUAUUGGCACUCUGAUAUGUUAAUCCUGAAACUAUAAAAUGCAGUACAAUACUUGAUCAUAUGCUAAUAAUAUUUUAUGAAUAGUAAAGAAGUGUUAAAACGUUAAAUUAAUUGAGCUUCAUGACUUCAUCAAGUUGGCUUCAAUAAGCUUCUGAGCUCUACGCUUUUCUUAAGUUGCAUUUAUGCUUUAUGCAGGCUAUUUUUAAGCCUCCAAAGGUUACAAGUGGCGGUGUCCAAAUUUGUUUUCCUCAAUUUGGAAGUCACAGUUCUCUUGAACAACAUGGCUUUGCAAAGAGCAGAUUGUGGUCAAUCGACCCUGAUCCCCCUGCUUUUCUGACUAAUUGUUCCAACAAGGCCGUCAUUGAUUUGAUACUUAAAAAUUCUGAGGAUUGUGUUAAGGUCUGGUGCCACAGAUACGAAUUUCGUUUGAAGAUAACACUGGGACCUGCAGGAGAUUUGAUGUUGACCUCUCGAAUUCGAAAUACAAAUACUGAUGGAAAGCCAUUUACCUUCACAUUUUCUUAUCAGACCUAUUUCGCUGUUUCUGAUAUCAGUGAAGUGCGUGUUGAAGGAGUAGAGACUCUGGAUUAUCUAGAUAACCUACAGAACAGAGAACGAUUCACUGAGCAAGGGGAUGCUAUAACAUUUGAAUCAGAAGUGGAUAAAAUAUAUAUCAGCACACCAACCAAAAUAGCAAUCAUGGACCAUGAAAAGAAAAGGACAUUUGUGCUGCGGAAGGAUGGACUUCCUGAUGCUGUUGUUUGGAAUCCCUGGGAAAAGAAAGCGAAGGCAAUGCCUGAUUUUGGCGAUGAUGAAUACAAGCAUAUGCUGCGUGUAGAUGCUGCUUGUGUGGGAACACCAGUAACUUUAAAACCUGGUGAAGAGUGGAGAGGAAGACAGGAGCUGUCUGCUGUCCCUUCCAGUUACUGUAGUAAAGGUAGACGACCUUAACCAAUGAGCAGCACUCCAAUGCAGAUAAAACGCUGUGCCUCUCUGGUUCGUCCCAAAGGGCACUGGGUAAGAGAAUUAGCAGGAAAUGGCUAUCUUGGCUCUGAUUUUGGUUGUCCAGAAUCCUUAGAACCAUUGUAUUUUGGUCGACAUUUUUCGUUUCUUUGAUUGUUAGUCAGCAAUAUAACAAGAUAGCCUCACCAUUUCUUAUAAACUAAUUUAUAAUGCUUUGUUUCCUUGGAAAUUCUAAACUUCAAUGAUUGAGGUUUCUGUUUGGAACUUUUGAUUAUUAUUUCUCAAGUAUGAAAGACAGCAUGAACUUCAAUAA